GGCAACGCCCGAUCCUUCACCCACUGAUCGAGGUCAGGGAUCGAACCUGCAUAUUCAUGGAUCCUAGUCAGGUUCUUUAACCGCUGCGCCACGAAGGGAAUGCCUCGCUCCUUCGUUUUAGACUCACUUAACUGCUUCUGGACGUCUUGGCUUGGACGUUUCACAGGUGCUUCAAACGACAUCACAAAACCCCAACUCAUGACCUUCUCCCCCAAGCUUCUCCCCCAUGGAGUCCCGAUGGGAUGAGUACCAUCACCAUCUAUCCAGCUGCCUGUAACGCACAUGUGUAACGCUUAACUGUAACACACUUAAACUGUAACACAUAUUUACACAUAGGCUCCUUGGAGACAAGGAAUUUAUUUACCUUUGUAUCCCCAACACCAGGCCCUCUGCUCAGUGAGAAGUACAGUCCAUUUAUGAUCAGCACCGCUGGAUAGCAGUGCUUCCAAGGCCUCCUUGUUUUUAUCUCUGUCUCACAAAAUCAGGCAGACACUUCCUAACCCGGGCUCUGUUGCCAUCCAGACAGGCCCAGCCACAUGGCAAAUAAGCUUUCGGGGAGGUGAAUUUUCAAGGUGCUCUUUGAAGCUCACCUUUCCAAUAGCCAAGGAACGUGCUCUGUCGUGAAAGUGGUCUAUGCCCCCACCCAGGAAAAUUCUCUGGGUCUCAGAGGCCUGAGUAAUAUGAUUUAAGUGUAUUUAUUUUCUUCAUUGAAAUAGAGUUGAUUUACAAUGUUGUGUUCAUUUCUGCUGUACAGAAUUACAGAAUAUUACAUGGCAUAUCCUUUUCCAUUAUGGUUUAAUCAUGGAAUAUUGAAUGUAGUUCCCUGUGCUCUCUGGUAGGACCUUGCUGUUUAUCUACCUGCGUUUAAAUCGUGCUGCGGUGCUCCGAGGUGAGAAGCACUGACAGUGAAGCGAGUACUGCCUGUAAGUAGUAGUGCUAUUUAGUUACUUGUCUCAAACUUGUUCAGCUGAUAUUUAUUGAGUGUUUGGUACGUGCCAGGAGCACUAUACUAGAUGCUUUACAUGUAUUUUCUCAUUUAAUCCUAACAAAGGUCGUACGAAAUGGGUUUUGUUAUUCUCCCCAUUUUACAGAUGAGGAAACUGAGUGACACACAGAGACCUCAAGUAAUUUUCCCAGGGUCACACAAAUACUUUGAAGGAAUAUAAAGAUGGUUUCCCAAGAUGCACUCAAGAGAAUUUCUCACAAUCCUUCUUACUGCUUAAGCCAAGGUGCCUUUUCUCCUUACAUCCUGGAGGCCAAUACUUGAUUACAUGGUAUUAGAAAUGUCAGCUAAUUAGAACUGUGAAAUCUGGCCAUCCUCUUAGGAAACAAAAAAAAAAUUCAUUGUCUCAUCAAAAAUGCACACCCAUUUAAAUGUAUUUCUUUAGAAUAUCUCAUAAGUUGAAACAGACCUGUCUUUGCUGUAAUAAGGUUGUGUACUGUCCAGGCCCCAGUUUGUAUCACCCAGGAGGUCCAUCCUGUUAAUGUCACCAGGCCUGCGACAUUAUCAAAAAGCUAUUGAUCAACAAUCCCUGAAACACCCAGAUACACACAUCCCUUGGGUGCUGGCGAGUGCUGUGCUCUGUCCUUGAGCUUCUCCCUCUCACCAGGGCUCCUCAACCUCCUCGGUGAACACCAGAGUCAUGUUCAAGCCUACUGCAGACAACAGACACCUGUCACCUGCCCAGAGCUACCCAUAUACCAUCAUACCAUCGCCAGAGCAGGGGUCUGACCAUCUGCAUUUUAACAAGAGUCCUUGGGGAUGGAUGCGAGUCAGCACUAACCACUACUCUUCCCCGCCCCCUGGUCCUCUCAUCCAACCCACAGCUUCCAACACCAUCUGUCUCCAGCCAAGUCUGUCCAGAGUUUCAAGCCCUUGCUCCAGCCUGAACAGCUUCAUCUAGACAUCCCACAGGCAACUCAGACCAACACAGUUUGGGGGCUUUAAGGAGGUACCCUUAAAAAGUAGCUCUCUUUUCGUGAGCUCUGAACCAACCGAGAAAUGAGGUCCAAAAGUCAGCAGUCGAAUACAGCACCCUGAUGAAAGAAAAGCAGUCAUUUGGGGAUGAGCUUAGGAAAAUGGGCUUCCCAAUUUUCUGCCUCCAAGCGCAGGUCACCCAAGGGAAUCAGAUGUGCAGAGAGGACCCUUGCCUUCCGUGGUCAAGGAUGGAGAGGCAGGAGGAAAGGGCUGGGCCCCCCACACUACCUUCACCCUAAGAAACACGGACAAACUGAAACUGACAGCACGAACGGCCCGAACCUAGACAGAACACAGAUUGGGACUUGAACCCACGAGCCGGGACUCGAACCCAGCCUAAAGCCAGAUUAAGAUUUAAACCCAUGGUUUUAAAUUAGAAUCACUCACCCAGUGCCUGGACUCACUGAGGAUCAGGUUCUUCGUGUCUCUCGUAGAAGGAAUUCAGCGAGAAGCAAAGUGAUAGGCAAGAAAUAGAUUUACUGAGACAGAACACCUGCGAGAGGGCCAAGCAGGCAGGCGCAGAAGAUCUGCCCCAAGUUGCUGCUGAGCCACAGUUUCAGCAUCCAAGGGGAGUGGGGGUUGGAAAGGCCCACCUCUUCCUUUCUGGGAGUAGUAGCUCCUCCUUGGUAUCCGGUAAGGUCUGUAUUCAAAUCAGCAGAAGGGUGGUUCUCAAACUUGGUCUGAAUCUGAACGCAGGCCUCAUCCCAUCCCCCACCCAAUGACGCAGGGCAAUUCUCGCACCUCUACUCGUCAAGCAAGGCUACCCUGUUCUGAUGGUGUUCUUGAACUUACAGUGGCCUCCCGGCAUCCCCCAGGUUUCCCUCUUUAUCUAGGAUUCCCCCAUCGGGACUUCUACAACCACCUGUGCCUACUCCAUCCCUAUCAAAGUGGCUGCCGCCCAGGAACCAGGUACCUCACUCCAUCCUGGGACGAGAAUGAGAGCUGGGCAAAGGGUCAGCGGCAUCUUGGGAAAAUCCUUCACAGAAGCAGAGGAGCGGGGAAGAGGCAUCCCCUCUGAUGAUGUCACAGCCAGAAACCUUAGGGCCAUUUUCUCAUCUCCCACUGGCACAUCCAACAGGGAACAAGCCCUGUCCUCUUCACCCGCUCUUCCUGUGUAAGUGAGGCUUUAACGGCCUCUCCGCUGGGUGACCACAGGUUCUGACUGCCCUUCCAUCCUGCAUGUGGCAAUCAAGGGAUCUUUGGAAAAUGAAAAAUGGGUCACGCCUCACAUACACACUUAAAAGUCUUCAAUAGCUUGUUAUUCCCAGCAGGUGUUUUAUAUAUAUACAAAGAUUAGAAGGCCAAAGAGCAGGCCAAAGAAAGGUUUCUGACAGCCAAAUGUGGAGUCUAGGUUCUGGGGUAUGAGGUGGGGAGGAAAAAUGAAGCGGUUCUUGUAAAACUAAAAGUCCUUAAGGAAUCUCUCCUCUGCAAGAGGAAAUCAGAGUCUAAGUAGCUGCUGAUGCUGGUGAUGUCUGGACUCGGAGGUAAGAAGGGCUCUGGACUAGCUGGGGUCAUUCCUGUUGCACAUGUGGAGCGCCAUCUUGGAAUGGUAGCGUCCAAAUGCCCGAGAAGGGGGGAUUAUAGCAGAAGUUGAUCAGUACUAUGCCAGUGAGCGAGGGGGUCAGGGCCAGUGUCGUCAGGGGGUAAAACCCAGUUUCUUCUGCAGGACACUGGAGGUCUAUGUGAACCGCCUCUCGUCUACAUUACCAUUCUCAUCUCUCAUGAUGCCCUCCAACUAUCUGCCCCUCUAGCCUCAGAACCCGAAGCUGGCUUAAGUUGCCUGGCUGCUUAAUGCCUCCAUGCCUUGCCUCAUGGAAUGCCUGUCCUUCCCCCUCUGUGCCUGCCUGGCAAACUCCCACAGAGAAAUACUCUCUGACUUUGUCCAGUCACACCUCAGGCAAGUCAGCCACCUCCUCUGGUGAGUCCUCACUGCACUCCCUGGAGUUCUCUUACAGAACUGGCGACUUACACUACUUUUAGGUGUAUGUCUUCCUUCCCCUAUUAGGCGGAAAGCAACUUUAGGGAAAAGACUGGCUGAUACUGUUCUAUCCUCGAUGCUUCAGUUCUGAUUGGUCCUUAAUAAAUCUUGAUUAAAUAGUCUCUGAGCCCGAUGCAAAGCUAAUUGAACAACUAUUCAUACCAUUAAGAAUGUGCUGGUGAUUAUCAAAAGUCAAUCUUAUCCCAAGAAGUUUGGAGCAGCAUCCUGUCAUCUGUUCAGAUUUGCUUAGGAGAGGCAAGUGCUGAAGAAAUAGGAACACAGCAUCUCCUUGGCUCAGAGGGAAGGUUUCCAAUGCGAGAUGUUCUCUUCCCUCAAGUUAGCAAAGUUCCCCAGGAAUAGAGCCACCGUGAGGGGGAGCAAAGCAGCGUGGAGGUGAUAGUUGAAGUCCCAGGCCCCAUUCUCUGGAAAUGGAAUGACCAUGGCCAAUGUGCUAUCAAUGCAUUUAUUUUAUUUUUUAUUUUAAAAAGUUGGGGGGGUUAACAGAUGCAAACUAUUGCCUUUGAAUGGAUAAACAAUGAGAUCCUGCUGUAUAGCACUGGGAACUGUAUCUAGUCACUUACGAUGGAGCAUGUAAAAAAGAAUGUAUAUAUGUAUGUGUGACUGGGUCACCUUUCUGUACAGUAGAAAAUUGACAGAACACUGUAAACCAACUACAAUGGAAAAAAUAAAAAUCAUUAAAAAAAAAAUUUCGGCGGUGCCUGUGGCAUGUGGAACUUCCAGGACCAGGAAUCGAAACCAUGCCAUAGCAAUAACUAGAGCCACAGUAGUGACAGCACUGGAUCCUUAAACUGCUGAGCCACCAGGGAACUCCUGGAUGCAUUUAUUUUCACGCACCUCAAAUGUCUGAAAGGUGAAAUAAUCUCUUUCACAUUAAUCUGUCAUUUUAUCAAUCUGAACUCUUUAGAGCAGUGAUGACUAGAACUCUCAAUAACCCUAGAACCCUAGAACAAAAUGCCAGUGAUGCCCCCUAAAAUAAUCAUAGAUGGUUCGGUUACACCCAGUAGUUUUAGCAUUGAAUGGGCUGCCAUGUUCUCAUUCAUUCAUUUCCUCAUACAAAUGUUCACUCAUACAAUGGACCCCUAAAGCUGGUGACCACAUGCAGAUCACAAAAGGCAAAAUUGCCUCAGUAAGACGAGAGAGCAGAGCAAGGAGCUAAAAAGGGAAAAAAGCCUUUUUUUCCUUUUAAAGCCCCUGUGCCAGUUCUACAAAUGCAUCAUCAUUCUGAGAUUUUAUGAAGCAUGUUCAACUGUAAAUUCAGAGAACAUUUAAAGCAUGUUCAACUGUAAAUUCAGAGAAGGCAAAUACGGUUUUGAUUUUCCACGUCAGUGCUGGCCUGUAUAACUAGAAGAUGCUGGGUGACACCGACAGGGAAUUACCAAGUCUCUCUUGAGCAGGGGUGCUGCCCAUCCUCCACUACUACUGGUGGGCUUUGUCUCUGGCACCGGGCAAGCAGGCAGUGGCUGUAGCUGGUGCCAUCCUGAAUCCCUCACUCCAUGUGCAUAAUCUCAUAGCUUAUCAUCUCACAGUCUCAAAACUCUUCCAAAAUCCUAUAGCUGUAUCAUGGGUAAUCCUAUAGCUGAAUGAAAAAGGGAAGAGUCUUCAGUUUAUGUCUGCGUAUACUUUUACUCUUUUCUCUGGCAGGGUUUGCUCGUGCAGGUGUAAACUGGGCCCGCCUUGGCAGACGACCCAGAGAACCUGAGUUUAUCAAUACUCUAGACAAUGAAUAUCUUCAAAUCAAUUGCUGUCUCUGAUCCUUGUCUAUGCAACGGGUAAGCAUUUGAUUGCAUGCUAUCAGCACACAGUAGAGAAUGGCUGAGUGUAGAAAGCAAGCCCCACUAUUUCUUUGGCAGACAAUCGAGUUUCCUUUAAACAGAUCCAUCAAAAAUCAACUAAUAAUUUGAACUGAAUUGCCAAGCCAUUCACAAAAACAACCCAACAUUCACCUGCCCCACAAAUCCUGGGUCGGACACUUUUCUCUCUCCUGACUUGACUCAAAGAUCUUUUUUCACUUGCUCAUUUACUCAAAAGGCCUGUUUCACUUCCAAAAUUUAGAGCCUAAGAAUUUAAUCUUCAGUAAUCUAUUCAUUUAAAACAUUCUCUUGACCAUAAAAUGGAUCGCAAUCUAUAGUCUUUCUUACAAUGGCAAUUCCACUUUCCUAUUCAAUCUAUCAUUAAAAUUACCUCAGUUCUCACCCCCCCCCCUUUAAGGGAUAAAAGCCCAUUUGGGGUGGGGGGUGGGGGCUCUUCUCCCCCUUCCCAGCUGCCCUGGGAGCUAUUUGCCUUCCUGGAGUAAAGACUUUGCUUGCUUGCAAAAAAAAGAAAAAGGAAAAAACCCCUCAAUUUUCAGAGAAAGAGGUUUGUGGGGUUUUUGGGGGGUGGGGGAUUGGGGGGAUGUCCAAGUUCCUGGGUUUCUGGGCUAGGGAUCCAUUCUGAGCCACAGCAGUGACAACAUCAGGUCUUUAACCACUAGGCCCCCAGGGAACUCCCUUGACAUGUUAUGUUUAAGAGGGCAUCAAAAUUAUGCAAGGGUGAAAAUGUUCCCUAAAAAGGAAAAGUUUUUAAGUUGAAGUAAUCACAUGCAAAAAGUAACAAAAUGUAAUGUGGGGUUUCAGUUUAUUUUCCAAGUUUUACAGUAUAAAAAAUGUAACAGGUAAAGUGUUUUACAGUUAACUGGAAUGGGGGACCCAAAAGCAAACAAACAAAAAAAACCCAAAAUAACUCCGACGCCAGGUACCCUAUGCCCCUUAUAGCCUCUAACCUUGUUGCUGAUGUUACAGUGAGCAUAGGCUACAGGGCAUACGCCCUGUGAAUGUAGGUAAAUAUUACGGGCAGAUGGUUGCUGGUAGAGUAGUUCAUUCAUUCAUGUUUGAAAUGUCUCCAUAGAGCCCACCACCCAGGUCAUGAGAGAAAUCACUCUCAGAUUUUGUCAUACAUACCUAGUGACUGUGAGUUUUGCUAAACAGCAAAAUUGCCCCUCCUAGUUACAAAGUGCAGUAUUAACUAAUAAGAGGAAACACAAGACACCCCUGGCCACAUCUUUGCACAAACAGUCACGGCUCCGUCGGAGAGAGACAGAUGGUUUCAUCGCUGAGCUUGCUGGGUUGAUACUGGAUUCUAAAUCCAAAAGUGUAAACAUGUAAGGGGAACUCAACACAAAAUCGAUUGUCAAAUAAACUUCCCUGGAGUCAGACCCGGCCCGGGCCUCUCUGGUCUUCUCCGUAGCAUCUCAACGUCUCGGUGGAGGAAGCGGUCAUCACAGCAGGAGAUAAUUCACUGCCCCAGGGAGCCACUACCCACCCCGGCCCUCAUCCCGCUGCUGUCCUGCACUCUACGCAAUCGUUGUUGUAAACAACUGCUUUGAAAUCAAAUUUUGUUAAUCAUGUCAUAAUUCAGGAGUCCCAGAGGAGUUGGCUGUCUAGUGAAAGCCUAUUGUGAAUCUAUUAUAAAAAUAAGAAAGUAUCAGCAAAGUUUGGAUUUUCUUAUUAAUUUUUUAGAAGGAAGAUCAGUACAAAGUGAAUUUUCCAUUAUUUCUAUAACUGAGGGGCACUGGCACAUGAAAAGCAACUGCCACCCCUUUCCACCUGGCCUCUGACUUGAGGAUGAUGGGUUAACUGUCUAAAUUCCUUACAAGGUGAACUGAUCCGACUUGACACCUGCGGAUCAGAUGCCCAGGUCCUAUGACUAAAUUCCCUGAGCAACAGUCUCUGGCCCUCAGAGAUGAAGCUUUCCCAGGGCGAGGGCUUUGAGGGGUGGUUAAAAAAUCAGAAUGAAAGCUCAUGUUCACAGGGAGAGCUCAGAUAAAUACAGGCAAAUACAAAACGAGAUACUGUACAUUCACUUGUAUCCAAAUAUUGUCUCAGUGCCAAGAGAAGUGCCAAAGACACUCAAGAGAAAAGCCUGGGGCUUGGUCACGUUUGUCCCCAAGGCUCACGAUAAGAGUGUUUUUAUCCCACUAAAAUAAGGACAAAGCACGGAUGUUUUCAAGCUGAGGGACGUUAUCAGUUGUAGAUUCCUGGAGCCAUACUUUUCACUGCGCUGCUUCAGGUGUCAGAAAUCCGCGUUGUGUUGGGGAGACUCUCCGACAACCCACUGAAGAGAUUUAUGUUACAGGUGAAACAAAACAAACUGGGUUAUCGAAGCAGAAAUGGGACAGGCCUGGGAAAAGGGACACAGAGUCCUAGAAUCUAAUUUCAUGCGGUAGUUUUACACUUCCUAGCUACCCUCUGAACACGUGUCUUACUCAUUCCUAGUAAGUAGCAGUGCUGAGAGGUGUGUCACCAGCCCUUUCCGGUUCCCCACUAAAAGCAAACAGCAAGAGAGAAGACGGUAGUUGAGCAAACUGAACCAAAACCCAAAGACACUGGAAGAGACGAAAACAAUGUUUUCAGAGUCCUGUUUUACAUCUGCUGAUGAAACCUCUCGGAGGGCAAAUGUGGCGGGGGUGGGGGGGACAUAGUGUGAUGCAGAGUGCCUGCUGAGAGCAGCCAAGUCAAGGACAGAGGCCAGUCCCAAACCCUCCCGAGGCUGUGCUGGCAGGCAGUCUGUCUCCCAUCCCAACAGAGGGAAGCUGCUGGGGCAAAAUGUUGACAAAGCCUCAGAAAGAGGCCACCUCAGGUCAGGAGGUGGCUAAGUCUCAGCCCCUGCACAUCCCACACCCCUGCCCCCUGCGCCACCAAGGUGCACACCUGCUCAAGCCUGCAGGGCGGGACAGGCAAAAGCAAAGGGUGGCUGCCAGGAACUAUAGCACCAGUCCUACAGCGUGCAACACUAGCAGGGGAAGGGCGCCUCUCAAGUGCUUUCCAAUGAAAAUCCAGAGAAAUCUGCCAGCCUGGUAGAGCAGCUUUCCCCGGGGCCACAGCUCCCGUGCAAACCGACAAAGAACAGAAGCAUUCCACUGCCAAUGAACCCCAACCCUGGGUUCUGAAUUCAAGGUUAAAUGUCCUCAGAUCUUUCCUCCACAUCCCCAAAUGCCAAAUUAUUUAGGUAACACCUCAAGGUUCAGUGAGCCAGGGACUGGAAUCAAACAUGACAUUUGAAAGUUCAUUUACUCGCCAUGAGAGUUUAGGCGAGACCCUCCCUCUCUGAUCACCCAUUUCUCUCACCUGUAAAAGUGAAAUAACCCCCACCGUAAAGGAAUGCACAUUCCAGAACAGCGCCUAACUUAAAAGACCUGAUCAAUACGUCUUACUACCCUUCUCUCUCAUCUUUGAUCAAAAUCUGGCUUGGCAAAAAUGAGAUCCAAAGUCGGAUAUUCCGGGCAUCCAUUUGGUUAAAGCUCAAUAUGAUGGUUUCAAUGUAGCGGCUAUAGCCUCUCAUUCACCGCCGCACUGAAUACCAUUCAAAAACUGUGCUGUGGGCUUAAGAACGACUCAUGUUUGAUUUAUAAAGGAUUACGACAAAGUUAAUGGUAGGAAAUUCACAGCAGUGAUUUAUUUUGUGUAAAACAAAAUCCAUAAAGCAUACACACUACCCCGAAGUACUUAACACUAACGCUUUAGAACCGCAGGGUCUCUGUUGGACUAGUCAAAUAUUAUGGCUCCACUUCUGGGCUACUUUUUAGUAAUCAAUCUUUUUUAAAAUGAAGCUCAAUUUUUAGGUUCUAUUGAGAAAUCUACAGUAAGGCUUCCAGGGUCGUGAAAUUGCAAGAGUCCUUCUCAGGGAGCUUGACGUUUCUUUCUUUGUUUCUUGCUAUUUUCAGGUCAUAGGGUCCUGGGGCAAGAAAGAGCCUAAUGGACUUGCCUGCAGGACAGCAGACUCUCCAGAAGACAUCGCUGUGCUAAAGCCAUUUACUUUUGGGGGGAAGCCAGUGUAACCGAGGGAAAGGAAUAAAGGAAGGGCGAAGUAGCUGGCUUUAGAGUAAUCCCCCAGAAGAUGGGUGCAGUUAGGAAAUCUCUCCAACACAGAGCAUAUGCAGAAACACAUGAGCUCACAUCCACUCAUCCAUACAAACACAUCCACAAGUAAUUUUCUGAAAUACACACCCAUCUGCUUCAGAUAACACAGAUGUUUGGAUGUCUAACAUAAACAUGCUGUCCUGCUGCUAAUUACACUCAGAGAAACACUCACACACACAGAAACACAUAC